GACGAACGCUGGCGGCGUGCCUAAUACAUGCAAGUCGAGCGGACGGAUGGGAGCUUGCUCCCAGACCGUCAGCGGCGGACGGGUGAGUAACACGUGGGCAACCUGCCUGUAAGACUGGGAUAACUCCGGGAAACCGGGGCUAAUACCGGAUAACUCUUUCCCUCACAUGAGGGAAAGCUGAAAGAUGGCAUCUCGCUAUCACUUACAGAUGGGCCCGCGGCGCAUUAGCUAGUUGGUGAGGUAACGGCUCACCAAGGCGACGAUGCGUAGCCGACCUGAGAGGGUGAUCGGCCACACUGGGACUGAGACACGGCCCAGACUCCUACGGGAGGCAGCAGUAGGGAAUCUUCCGCAAUGGACGAAAGUCUGACGGAGCAACGCCGCGUGGGUGAUGAAGGUUUUCGGAUCGUAAAACUCUGUUGUCGGGGAAGAACAAGUACCGGAGUAACUGCCGGUACCUUGACGGUACCUGACCAGAAAGCCACGGCUAACUACGUG
rnacentral:rRNA from 1 species